AGCAACUCUUCUGCAGAUAUGAGCCCUGGGGGCACAGCAGGGCCUGAGGCUGACGUGAUGAGCAAGCUGUUGACAUGACUAAUAGGUUGAUUCAGACAAGACCCUUUUCAAAUCCUGGACCACAUGGGCUUUGAGUUUGGACUAAUGAAGAGCUUGCUACAGUUCCUUGAUGACAUGGGUCCACCGGAAAGAGUAUGAAAGAACAUUCACUUUAUGAGCACAAUUCUCCCGUCGGGGGCGGCUUUACUCAGUGCCCGAGGAAGGAGAAAAAGACCGGGCGAGAAACAAAGUUUGGGCGAGAAGCCAGCCGAGGAGCAGAACCUAUUCGCCUUUGGGGAAGUGUUUUUUCAGGGGGAAAUCGGCCUCAGCAGGUGGGAGAAAAGGCGCCACCCAACCUUCCCACGUCGGGACUCCGCGGGACUCGAGGGCCGGAGGAACCCGCGGAGGGGAAAGGGCGAGCACUGAAAACCGGGGGCGCGGAGACAUUCAUCCCCCUCUGGACAGGUUCUGCUUUCCUAGGCGUUUAAUCUCU